UACGUAGGAGACGAGCGUUGUCCGGAAUUACUGGGCGUAAAGAGCGUGUAGGCGGCUUGGUAGGUCCGCUGUGAAAACUCGAGGCUCAACCUCGAGAUGUCGGCGGAAACCACUUGGCUAGAGUCCGGAAGAGGAGAGUGGAAUCCCUGGUGUAGCGGUGAAAUGCGCAGAUAUCAGGAAGAACACCCGUGGCGAAGGCGGCUCUCUGGUACGUGACUGACGCUGAGACGCGAAAGCGUGGGGAGCGAACAGG
rnacentral:rRNA from 1 species